GAGUAGUAUAUAAGUGUACUCUUGUCUGCUUGCAACUCUUCUAACACUCCAAGAGGUUACAGAAUGAAUCCAAUGCACCAUAAAAUGCAAAAAAAAAGGCGAAUAAAGGACAAAUAUUGUGUAACAUUUACAUAAACGAAAAUGGAAUGGAAUGGAAAGGAAAAAUGAAAUGCACAACAGAGCAAAUACGGUAUGCACAACUUAGACAGGGAGAUCACAGUAAACGAGCAGCUCUCCGCGGAUAGCAUUCCUCUGAUACUUCUUUACAGUGGUACCAUAUCGAAAAUUGGAUGGAUCCGUCCUUGAAGAUUUACAUGAAAUCUUGUCCGGGCCUUAGAUAUAGCAAUCUCCUUGCAGGUGCUGGAGGUGCCAGUCCGGGGAUAUCCCUUAUGUCCUUGUUGUGAGGAUUCACAAUCUUCACAACAAUUAUGGCAACUACACCACAGACAAUGAGGAAGAGGAAAAGCAUGAUACAUUUAUCUGUGGCAACCUGCCGUCCAAUUUCCUUGACAAGCUGGGAUGCUUUUUUGAUGGAGAAGUGAAUUGUGUCGAGCUCAUUGACAACACGACCCAUCUGAUCAGUUUGGCCUUUCAAGGUAGCAGCAGUUUGUGUUCCCACUUCAAUUGUUUGGUGAACAACCUGUUUGGAGCGUUCAAUGGC
rnacentral:misc_RNA from 1 species